GGCAGGAUGUGGGAAAGGAAGAAGCUCCAGUCCUUGAUCGCGCUCGUGUUGCACGAGAGCAUGGCGACGCCGCUCACUCUCUUCGUGCGCGAGCUCUCCUCCACCGGGCCAUCACUGCCGCGUCUCCCGGUGAGUAGGGGAUGCAGUUUCAGGUGUCUGCAGCUGUGGUGGGAAACCCUGUGAGAUGGAGUUAAAUUUGACUCUGAAACAUGCUGCCCAGCUGAACAUCUGAUCAGUCCCAACAAAUAUUAACAUAUUCUGGAUCUUCUCCCCAAUCCUGCACAUUCCCAAAGGAUCUCUCCCCAAUCCUGCACAUUCCCAAAGGAUCUCUCCCCAAUCCUGCACAGACCAAAUCUGUUGGUUUUAUUUAGCAAAAUAUGAAUAAAAGUCACUAAAGCCACAUUGAUUUUGA